GAAGGCAGCCGCUCUAAACCAGAUCAUUCCGGUUCGGAGCGGUUCCCCGCUCUACCCCCGAGAGGCUCUCCAAGUAGGCUCUCCAACUAGGCGUGGGCCGCGGACGGCGGCUCCGCGCCCUGAGAUUAGUGGAGAGGGGUCUGGAGGCUACUCCGCACCCCCCGCCCCGGGCUCCACGUCCGCCUGCGCUCUGCCUGCCCGGGCUUCCUCCCCGCCGGUGCGGGGUGUUGGCGGAGCCUUUGUCGUGCGGCCCGGGCUCGCCGGCCUCUGCUCGGCCGUGGUCGGUCGGUCACGACACCAGGGCGCCCGGCGGAGGGUGGGGGAGCGAUGGGAGCCGACGUCCAGCCCCGCUCUGUGACCUGGCCCAAAGCACCCUCACCCUGCCCGCACCGCUGCCGUGGCCUCCCAACCGAGGGCCCCGCUUCCUCUGGCACCCUCCCUCGGCAGCGGGGGGGAUCGGUCCGUCCUCUCUCUGCCUUCCAGCUCCCAGUUGAUCUUAGAAUGAAAACCAGACGCUUUGCCCGGCUCUUCCAUCAUCUGCCCAGCCUGCCUCUCCUUGCUUCCCUGGCCUCCCCUCCCGGGUUCCCGUCCUCCCGCUACGCGGCUUCUUCCCCUUCCAGAAGACGCCAGGGGCCGGGUUUUUGUCUUUGGAAUGCUCUGGCCCCUUGAUGCAGUGGCAUUCUCCCUCAUGUGCUUUCUAGCUCCUGGCGCGCAGUCAUUGCGUCCUCGGGGAGGCUCUCCCUAACUUGUCCGUGUCCGGCCGCUCGUGCUUCUUCACAGCAGCUGACUGGCUCCCCGCUCCCCGCCUCCCAUGGAAGCUCCCUGAAGGCAGGCUUACUCCCCGCCGCCUGGCCCGGCCGGCUCCCGGCCCCGCGCGGGUGCGUACUAAGUGCUCAGUUAGUGAGCGGUCCGAGCGGGCGCGCGCCGGCGCCGACCCCGGCCUGCGCACCGCGCGCUCCCGCCUUCGGGCCGGGGGUCGGGCGCCCCCUCCCGGCCGAGCUCCGCCGGCUGCCGCUGCCCGCCAGGGGGAGGCAGAGAAGCCCCGGGACGCGAGGUCGCGGGCCCGAGGCCGGCGCGCCGCAGGGAGAGAAACCGGCUGCGGGCCUCGCUCGUGCGGGGGAGGCGGCGGCGGCGGCCGGGCCACCCUCGCCGCCAGCCCAGGGCUCCAGGGCCCCGGAGGGCGACCGUUCUGGGGCGGGGGAUUGCAGGCAAGGCCACCCCUUCUCCGGGCUUUGCGGAUCUGGGUAACUCUCUCUGCAGGCACGUCACCGCGCUUGGCUUGCCACCAAGUGGGGGUCAGCCCUCCAGGCUUAACAUUCCAGUACCGCUUUGGCGGGGAGAAACGAAGCAGGGAAAGGCGCGGCUGGCGCUUCAAGGAGGCACAGGCUGGGUGGGCUCCGAGGUGGUGAGGUUGGCGGUGGGGGGAGCAGGGCUGGAGUUCCAGUCCUGGACGCCGCCGGUGCACCCCUAGGUACAGGUCAUUCCCCGCAACGGCCGAGUUACCGUUCUUACGGAUCACCUCUCUGUGGGUGGCAAAGUGGGCCUCUUCCUUUGGGGGGGGGGGGGGCGGGCAAGGGCAGUUGCCAGCAUCCUGAGUCACGAUCUGAUCUUGGCUGUUGCAGUGCACGCUCUCUACCUUUUCCUCCAGGGUGAGGCUCAGGGAGUAAAUGAGACCCCAGAUGCCUGGUGGAGGCCGCAGCAAUUGCCAUGGGCACAGCCACCCUACAGCUCCAGGCCGGGUGUGGGCUCCUGAAAUAGCAAGUGGCCGGAGCUCCCAGCUGUCUCUGUCCUUCUCUCCUUCGCAGCCCUGGGCUGGGCUGGGCUGGGCUGGUCACUGCCCCGUCCGUCUGCCUGAGCUGAGCUCGGCGCCUUCCUUCCUAGGAGAGCUGCGGAGGCCCUCCUGUUAGGCAGACCAUUGGAAAGGAACUCAGACACACUCGUGUGCUUGAGGAUUUGAGAAAAGUGUCUCCCUCUUCCACCAGAGACUUCGAGGCCAGAUCCCAAGGCCUGUGCAGGAUGGGUGGGUUUGCCGGGUCUGCUUUGUGUAUCGCUCAGAAGCCUUCCACGUCCCCUCCUCUCACCGUGGAGUGGAUGACAGAAAAAGCCUCUAAAAUAAUGUAUUAUCUUGCUUGAUUUUAUGAAGGGACAGGAUGGUGAGGAAUGGUCUUCGGGCAACAAUUAAAUCUUGAGACUUUUUUUUUUUUUUUUUUCUCUCCCUCUCCUGGAUUUUUUUUUCUCCCACCGGCUUCGAAGAUUGGCUUUUAAAUCGAAGAUUUCCAAAUACCAGUCAGGCUACCUCUUAAUCCAUCAAGAACUUAAAAAUACUAAUACUCCAGCCCUACCCUUUGAACCACCCAAUUUUUUACGGCCUGAUUUGGUCAGAACGGACCCAGAUUCACAGUAUCCUGAAAAAGGGCUAAAUCGAAAGAGUCAUGAAGGGUUCUGGUUUAUAAAGGAGAGAAAAGGGGGAAAAAAAACGAACAACAACCGUGAACAUACUUGAAAAAGCCAGCAGUCCCUGCUGUGGCCCUCUACAUCUCCCGGGCCACCUUACCACUGUUAGCUCUUUUGGCUGUUUUUGUUUGUGUUUUCUGAUACCUUCCUUUAUGCCUCUAGUCAAUAUGCUAUCCUGGUUAGUGAGACAUUCUGUAUAUUACCUUCCUGCCAUGGAACAUGAGGAUUUAGCUCUCACCUAUGUCACCCCACUUCCCUUGUCUCGUCCUCUUAGUUUCUUUAUUGGUUAAUUUUGUAACUUUUAGUAAAUACUUCGUCUUCAUUUCCUGUACCAUCAACUAUAGAGAGCGAGAACGGUAAAUACCCCAGGCAUGCUUCAAAGCACCUCACACAUUAUUGCAGCCACACAGUAACAAGGACUGAGCCGAGAGCCAAGAGCUAACCAAGCCUUGGUUCUCCAGCUCUCCAGGCCAUCUCCUUCCAGCACUGUACUGAGGUAGCCGCUAGCUACGCGUAACAGCUUAUACUUACAGAAAUGAAAAUUAAAUGGAACGAAAAUUGUAGUUCCUCGGUCGCACUAACCACAUCUGAAGUGCUGAAUAGCCAGUGGCUACCACAUACUGGACAGCGCAAAUAUAGAACAUUUCCAUCACCGCAGGAAACCAUUGGUUUUGCGCUGCUCUGGAAGCUGGGCCUUUUAUCUGAAGGUAAGUAUGGAAACUGGAUGGUUUUACCAGUGUCGUCUCCCAUCAAGCAAUUACUACCAAAGAUUAACUGCAAGAGAAUUGUGGUCCUACUGUUCGGUUAUAAGAGCUUCGUAACAGCAUUUUGACAAACUAGAAUCUUACACGUGUAACUGGAAGAACAAAACCACCCAAACCAACUAAGCCACUGAAACCUCUUCCCACCCAAGCUAAGACGGGGCUUAACUAAGAACCGAAUUAGGUACCAACGAGAGUUCAUUUCAAAGCUCUGGCUGGUCUAAAGUCUAAAAGGCCCAGGGUCCGCUUCUUGGCCCUGAUGGGCCUCAGGGGAGUAUCCUUCAGAAGACGUAGGAGAAAUAAAGCAAAGGAAACGAGAAUGCUCUGCGUAAUGAAUGUGCUCUGCGUAUUAACUGUAACAUGGGCUGGGAAGCCCUAUAAGUUAGGGGGUAGAAAUUGUUACGUUUUCCUCUGGUCGAUUUAUGGCAGAAUAUCGAAGAUUACUUGUCCCAGGAAGGUAUAUUUGAUCCAACAGUUUGUCGAUGGAAACACUGAAAACUAAGAGGCAUAUGUGCGAUUCUGGACGAGAGACCUUCAAAGUGACCAGACUUGGGAGUGUCCACACCUACACCGGACUUCAGAGCCUGAAGAAAAGCACUGCUGGGAGAGGGAUCCUAGCAGAGGGCGAAGCGAUACAAAGCAGAGGUUUUGGAGAAAGAAGCAUCUGGAAGACCGAGGCAAGAACCAGGAACUGUGGUUUCAUCCCCAAAGGACCCCCGGGGGAGGGCUCAGCUCCUCCUGGGGUUUUUUCCUUGACUCAGAGACAGUUGUGACUCUGUAUGUAAAGAUUCACAUCUUCCCUUUGAAUUCCCUGUAGCUCCUCCAACUCUUCAGAAAAGCCUUGAGACAUCCGUACAGACUUGGCUAGUGGGAGUUUGGGGAAUAUACAGAACGGGACAGGAAAAGGGAGUGUGGUCUGCCCCACAGUCACUCGCUCCCUUGCUGGUGUCCUGAGGGGAAGAGCGUUCUGUUGAGGGGACGGUUGUAGGUCCAGGAGUCCCAGAUGGUGAGCAGAGAGAGGGACCCACAGCAGGCGGCGGUGGAAGGCAGAUGACUCACAGAUAUUAAUUACGGAGAAAAGUGCACCCUGGUGGGUGGGAAAGGGGUGGCGGAGGCGGGCAGACUGAUGCUUACGUCACAGAGGUGAGCUCGCAUACACGCAAAUCACCGUCCCACAAUCAAGGUAGCCUUGAGCCAAAUAGAUUUGGAUAAGAUUUAUUGAUCAGAUUGUUUUAGAAAACCAACAACAAAACACUGACAAGGUACAUAAAUACAGAUUGGACAUUUUAGGGUAAAUUCACUAUUUUUCCUACGUGCUCGUAGGAGACCAAAUAAGGUGGAAAAGCUGUCCUGAUCAUAUGGCAUGCACACCAGACUGCAAAAGGACUUCCACACUAUUUAACAGGACUGUGGCAAAUAGCUUUACAGUAAGGCAAGCAUCGUGUGUGGCCUAAGCACACCCUGUACAAAGAGCCAAGCCCAGGCCUGCCCUCAGAGACUGCGGGAGAGGUUCCCCUUUCUUGCCUAGGUUCUUCCAGUCAAAUCCUCAUCGGCAGGUGCCUUUACAGGGAAAUGCCUGGCGCGGUCCCUGCUCAGACUCUGUGUACAAGGAAGCGGCUUCAGAGAAAGUCAGUGUGUUUCUGAUGCCUCCUUUGUAUUCUAAAUGUGCAACUAGGAAAACAGCAAUCACUACAGCUCGGUGAGACUGCCUCGGACUCACCCUGCGCACUGACUAAGCAGGGCCUUUCAAAAACUUCUAUCGAGUGAAAAAAAAUAAAAUCAUGAAAAUUACAACUAAAAAGAUGGGACCACUUUCGAAGCACAACUCAGAACUCCUUUUUGUAACACCAGGUAAGAGAAGAGGUCGCCUCCCACCAAACCCAGUGACCUCAGAAGGGAAGCAGCAUCACUGGGCACGACCCGCGGCGGCACACACGGGAGGUACAGAGCUCUACGAAGCCGGCCUCAGGCCCUGCCAACGCCCCUAGAGUCCCGAGGAAUUUGGGGAACCAAAGCACUUUAAGCUAACAGUGACCAGUUUUUGGAGCUCGCGAUCACGGGACCGUAAGCCCUCAUCCGCCCUGGAGCUCAACGCCAGAACAAUGAAGAAUAAGGAAAACGGCUUCUUGUGCUACAUCAGAGUGCUGGCAGGUAGACGAUUUAUAGUAACGGUGCCACCUGCUAAACAUCUGUAAGACCACAUAAAAACAAACUGGUUUUACAGAAUCAAGACCAACACAGACUUACAGGGUAAUUCAACCUUUUCCCACAUGCCAAGCUAUAUGGCUGGAAAAGGAAUCCCCAAAGGAAAAAAUAAGGCUCCUGCAAGAACAGAGGAAAAGCAAGUGUUUGUCAAGAGCCAAAGAAAUGUGUUCAAGUGAUGGGAUUCCCUCUGCAUCACACACAGCAGCUUUUUCUUCCUCUAGGUGCUAAGAGUUCUUUGGUGGUUAUAGGAGAGACAGCCCAGAACUCAGGGCAGGAAAACCGUGCCGGAGCAGAGGAGUGAAGAGUUAACAUCUCAACUCAGGAUUACCACCCGUGGGUCCUAAUUUCAGCAUUCAACAGCUGUCAUCAAAUUGACAAUUACAGCUAAUAGGGCUGCCUAUAUGCUUGCUGGUUUCUAGCCCUCCGUGACUCUUCGUUUUCAUUUCUAACUACUUAUUAGCCCUACUCCACUGAGAAGGAGGUGCUUGUGGGAAAGGGGUAAGGAGGAGGAAGAAUAUAAAUGGAUCGAUCGUUUGAUAGAAAAGUUGAAACACUGAUUAUCUAUGAGUUUCAAUUAUCUGUGCUUUACUCUUGCUACUCUGGGUAACCAAAGGUCACUGUUAAUAAACCUUUUGCUUAGAAAUGUUAAUGUUUAUCAUCAUAUGUUUAAAUCUAGCUAUGUGAUGGACAUGAAUAAUUUAGAGCAAAUUUUUACACCAUGUCACGAGGGCCCUGAAAAAAGACUCUGCCAGUGGAAAGGAUUUCAGUUUGGCCCCUGAAGAACAGUGAAAAUUUCAUUCUAUUCUAUAUUGGUUAAUAAGAUUUUCCAGAAUGUGGAAAAUAUUUUAUUAAAUGAAGAAAGCCUCAUUCUCUUUGUUUAAUAAAGUCUUAUAUUCACAGAUAAAUUAGUAUGUACAUGGGAAAGCUGACAGUAUUAAAUAUUAGAUUUUAAUUCUCCAUUUAGAAAUUCCUUACAGGUAGACUUCCUUUUUUCGUGGGCAAGAAAUGUAGUAAGAUAUGCAAACAUGAGAUAGUACAAAAGAUGACUGGGGGAAAGUCUCAACUCUAACAAACCCAAGGAAUAAGAAGUCUUUAAGAACUGGAGUAAGAAAACAAGGACUUGAAAACCCAGAUUGACCAAGAGUUGGCUUACGCUAGCUGGUCACAUCUCAAAUUCUUGGUAUAAGUUGACUCUAAAGGAAUGAGCUGGCUUUCCCCAAGGCAGAUUCAAAAAAAAGAAAAAAAAAAAAAAGUAGUCUACCUGCUUUAUAGUUACAC